rnacentral:rRNA from 1 species
GAUGAACGCUGGCGAGAUGCUUUACACAUGCAAGUCGUACGAGAGUUUUAAACUCAAGUGGCGGACGGGUGAGUAACACGUAAGAAUUUACCUUUAGGAGGGGGACAACAGCUGGAAACGGCUGCUAAUACCCCAUAUGCUUUCGAGUGAAAUGGAUUUUUCCGCCUAGAGAGAAGCUUGCGGCUGAUUAGCUUGUUGGUAAGGUAAUGGCUUACCAAGGCGACGAUCAGUAUCCGGUUUGAGAGGACGAUCAGACACACUGGAACUGAGACACGGUCCAGACUCCUACGGGAGGCAGCAGUGGGGAACUUUCCGCAAUGGGCGCAAGCCUGACGGAGCAAUCUCGCGUGAGGGAUGACUGCCUAUGGGUUGUAAACCUCUUUUUUCAGGGAGGAAUUAUUGACGUGUACCUGAAGAAUAAGCAUCGGCUAACUCCGUGCCAGCAGCCGCGGUAAGACGGAGGAUGCAAGUGUUAUCCGGAAUCACUGGGCGCAAAGCGUCUGUAGGUGGUUUAAUAAGUCAACUGUUAAAUCUUGAAGCUCAACUUCAAAAUCGCAGUCGAAACUAUUAGACUAGAGUAUAGUAGGGGUAAAGGGAAUUUCCAGUGGAGCGGUGAAAUGCGUAGAGAUUGGAAAGAACACCGAUGGCGAAGGCACUUUACUGGGCUAUUACUGACACUCAGAGACGAAAGCUAGGGUAGCAAAUGGGAUUAGAUACCCCAGUAGUCCUAGCCGUAAACAAUGGAUACUAGAUGUUGAACAGAUCGACCUGUGCAGUAUCAAAGCUAACGCGUUAAGUAUCCCGCCUGGGAAGUAUGCUCGCAAGAGUG